AGUCUAUGGGGCCGGAUGGCAUGCAUCCCAGGGUUCUGAAGGAGCUGGCUGAGGUGGUUGCUGAGCCGCUCUCUAUCAUAUUUGAAAAGU
rnacentral:miRNA from 7 species